rnacentral:rRNA from 1 species
UGGGGAAUUUUGCACAAUGGGGGAAACCCUGAUGCAGCGACGCCGCGUGAUUUAGAAGGCCUUCGGGUUGUAAAAAUCUUUUCUAUGGGAAGAAAAUGACAGUACCAUAGGAAUAAGGACCGGCUAAUUACGUGCCAGCAGCCGCGGUAAUACGUAAGGUCCGAGCGUUGUCCGGAAUCAUUGGGCGUAAAGGGUACGUAGGCGGGUAAGCAAGUUAGAAGUGAAAUCCUAUAGCUCAACUAUAGUAAGCUUUUAAAACUGCUCAUCUUGAGGUAUGGAAGGGAGAGUGGAAUUCCUAGUGUAGCGGUGAAAUGCGCAGAUAUUAGGAGGAAUACCGGUGGCGAAGGCGACUUUCUGGCCAUAACCUGACGCUGAGGUACGAAAGCGUGGGUAGCAAACAGG